UCUGUGUGGGAUAGUGGAAGGUUUCAGCUGCGUGUGGUGAGGUGUCUUAGGAAGAGCGAAAAACAUGUAAUUUUUUUGAACUGAUCCCCACUGAAAUGUGCAUAAUAAGAGGCAGCAAACAAUUUCUACCAACUUGAACCAGAACACUACACCAUAGAGGAUUCUGUCUUGCCAGAAGGAACAUUUUGAUACACAUUCCUCUUAUUCCCCGGUCUGAGCAGCACAACACAUUAGAAACUGGAAGAAAGACUCUGAACUUCUGUCCCCUGGAAAAAGUUUCCACUUUACAACACUGUGACCCUGGUUUUGCAGGUACUUCUUUGUGAUGUUCUUCACGGAAUUAGCACUUACUCGAACGCAAUGUAUGUCAGAAGAGUUGCAGCUGAAAAUAUAGCAGAUAUCCCACAGCCUAUAUAAAAAUUCUGUUGCUGUUCCUGGGAAAAGUAACAUGCCUGCAGGAUUCCAGCCACCACUGCCACCUGUGGAAAUGAAACAUGAGAAACUGGUGUCCAACAAACACAUGUCAACCUCUCUUUUAGAAGAUUUCUCACUUCAUCCUGUGCAAAUGCAGAAGUGCUUUCUCAAAUUGAAUGAGCCAGCAUUAAAAACAACUGCAAGAGAAGCAGGUGUCAGAUUUCCUAGUUUCUGCAAAGAAUCACCCCAGAUGAGUGCCCAGAAAUGGACUAAUGAGCAGAAGCAAGAGAUGGAGAUGUGUAAUAAAGUUAGGGAGCUUUUUGGUUGGUGAGUAAGACGUGGGUCGCGCAUUAAGACACACCUUAGUUUUACCCAGUAAUAAGAUGGUUUUAGAACUCCUUUUCCCCCCACUGAUGUGAUGUCUACACCUGUCUGCCUCCCACUCAUCUAUCCUCAGGCACAUGAAGGCUUUUAUGGCCCAGGAGCACAGGGUCCCACCCUUCCUCUCUGCAGCAUGUAAUGCAGAAGCCCAGAAUGGGUAAUCCCAAUGAUCUCUGGUGGCCUUAAAAAAAAACAUGAAGUGAGCUAUUCCCAACCCACUCCACAUGAAAAGGCCAUUCUGAAAAACAAGUAGAAAGAUUUUGGUUUUAAAAAUUAAAUGUUGAAAAGUAAAAAGUGUUUCUUUAUUCAUUUUUUCUCUGCAGCAUGUAAUGCAGAAGCCCAGAAUGGGUAAUCCCAAUGAUCUCUGGUGGCCUUAAAAAAAAACAUGAAGUGAGCUAUUCCCAACCCACUCCACAUGAAAAGGCCAUUCUGAAAAACAAGUAGAAAGAUUUUGGUUUUAAAAAUUAAAUGUUGAAAAGUAAAAAGUGUUUCUUUAUUCAUUUUUUCCCUGCCAAAAUAUGAGCUAGUUUCCUGAAAUCAUUCUUAUUCUCUGACUCUUAAAGACAUUUUCUCAUGGCUCUUGACAAAAUCCAGCCUAAUUUGCUUUGUAACUUCAAGACAAUCAAACACUCAAAUUCAAAACAUUUUCCCAAAAUGCUGUGAAGAUGUUCCAAAACCACUUAAAACUAUUCUCCACUCAAGUAGCCACUGUGAAUAGUUUCUUCUCUCCCUGUGUGUUUCUCCUUUAAUGUGAUUCUUAAGUUCAGCUUCCUAACUAGUUUCUAUGAUUUUUUGCUCAUUUUAACCCUCACAAAUUCUUCUCAGUUGCUCUG